AUGUCGCUGGCAAGGGAGCAGAAAAUGAUCAGCUAUACAGCAUACAGUUCUCCCAAAGAAGACAGGCUGUGCUGGAGGGUUGGUGGUCUCUGGAGCACAAAGGGGAGGUGUGAUCUACAAUACACAGAUCACAUGGAGGCUGUGCAUUUAGCAUGUACCCCUAACACCUGUGCAGUAAGUCACUCACUUCAAUAUAGGGAAACUUAACCCCUGGAGUGUUUAUUUUAGAUAAAGGGACUGUGUGUCUAUCCAAAUCCCCUGUCAUAACACAUAUGACUCGUAUCACAGCCCCUUGAGAUAAAUGGCUCUAUAGUACACAGGAUAAACACACCUAUUUUUACCUCCUCUUGCUGAGGAGUGCAUGACAGAGACGUAUGGACUUCAUAUGUGCACCUCUUUCUUAUCAAGAGUGGGCACACCUUUACAUGCAUUGUGUGACAUCAAGGUGUUCCCUGACCAUUGAAAGAAAAAAAGCAUGGGACAAAUGGCAUGAUGUUUCAUUGUGGUCGUUGGCAAGUGGUAUUAGAUCAUUCAACAGAAAUACACAAUAAUAUGUCUGAAGCAAGCCUAAUGUAGCCUCUGUAUGAAGAACAAUGGAGAAAAAAACUGGCCUGAGGCACAAUAGAUGAUACAGUUAGACAGAAGGGUGCCAUCUAGUGGUAUAUUUACAAAGAAACAGGGACAUUGAACAUAAGGCCUGUGACUAUAUGUCUGUCAAUUUUGAAUAAACAAACACUGAAAAUCAAAGUAGACACAUACCUUAGUACAAUUGCCCACACCCCAAACAUUUCUUCAAAACAGCACAGUUCUCAAAAUGGUUCUCAGACACAGUCUCCAUCAACUUCAGGUACAAAAUCGCUUACCUAAAAACGUCAUACGGGCGCUUUGAUACUUUUGACCUGUCCCAUUCUAAUUAAGGUCCCAGGGGCCCAAAUUCACAGAGGCCCAGAUUCACAAAAUGUUCUUAAGAAAAAAAUUAUUUUUAACUGUCAUUUUCUCCAUAACUAUAGACUUAAGAAGAAAGUUCAGAAAAGUUGCUAUUCUUCAAAAAGGUUAUUGGAAAUGUUCUUGAGCUAUUUCUCCUUAAGCAAAAAGUUAAGAAGAAAUGUAGAUUCUUGAACUAAAGUUAUUGGAAAUUCUAAGAUAGUUUCAGUAUUGAUUAUUUUAACCCAAGAACAUGUUUUAGAACAGUAAUCUCUAGGCAACCCAUUUAGCUAGCUAGCUAGCUAGCUAGCAAUGGUAAUCAUGUUGGCAUAUUUAUUAUUGCGAUUACUGUUCUAAAACAUGUUCUUGGGUUUAAAAUAAUCAAUACUGAAACUUUCAGAUUAAGUUUGAGGGUGAAUUAAGAAGACAUUUCUCUUGAGAAGGUUUUGUGAAUCUGGGCCCAGGUUCCUACCCUGUCACAAUAAUACAAGUGUUAUUCCAGUCGGUUUUUUACAAAAACAUGUGGAUGGUGUCAGAGAGCCAUACUUGAAUAGCUUACUGGGCCAUGACAUGAGGGAAUAUCAAUAUGAACAAAUAUGUGGCCAUAUUGUUGAAAAUUAUGUGGUAAACUUCAGAAUUUCAAAAGCACCAAUGAAAAAAGCCAAACCAAAAACAGGUCUUUUGUCUUAUUCACAUGUUUACAUUGUGAUAUUAUAUGACUUUCAUGUCAGCUGAGAUGAUUCAGAAUAAGCGCCACUUUUUAGCUCCUCGCAAUGCAGACUUUGUGUCGACACUUGUUUUUCACUCUUAAAUCUGAAUGUUGUCCUAAAAGCUGUGGUCAGGCUAUUCUGACAAAUGUUCCAGAAGUCCAUUUGACAUCUUGAUGGAGUUCUAGAUGUGAUGUUAUUCACUUCAUCUUGUACAACAGUAAAAAAAAAUAUAAUAAAGCAUUUAGUCCUACUCUUUUUUUUUUUAUCGGCUCCAGAUUAAAGAUUGCUUGCACUAUAGGACGUUAAUAACACCUGCGCGCAAGAGUCAGCACAUCCUGUUAGAGAGAGCCAUACAGAGAACAAACAAGAAUGUUAAUUUGCUAACUUUAACUAUCGUCAACAUCAACUGUAUGAAAGCAUGCAAAAAUGACUUCUUUGGAAUGGUAAAUAUUUACAUUGUAACAACCACAUUUCAGUUCAGCACAUAGGUGUAAUAUUUGGAGAAACACAGAGCUAACAGUACAAAAGGCAUUCAGGCUAUUAAGAGUACUAUAGUACAGUCAUGAAUAGACAAUGAAACCUAUGACACAAACAUCAUGCAGAUGGGAUAAGACAAAAGUUAAAACAAACUAACACAUGGUUUGUACUGUAAUUAUAUGAUAUAUAUAAGGUUUAUCACAAAUCUUUCUUAAAGACUGUAUCGGGGUAAGCUCUUUCAUUUGGAUCUUUCUUCAAAUACAUCACAUUAAUAUUACAUACUAUGUGAAGAUACAGCAAAGAGUUUAAACAGGUCUGUCCAUUAAUUUAAACAGGUCAAUGAGAAAAUUAAAAAAACGAAAUAAAAAAAUAGUGUGG
rnacentral:lncRNA from 8 species